GAAAUACUCCCUCCGUCCGGAAAUACUUGUCCUAAAAAUGAAUAUAAUGAAUGUAUCUAUAACUAAAAUAAGUUUAGAUACAUUCAUCUCUAGGACAAGUAUUUCCGGACGAAGGGAGUAUGUG
rnacentral:pre_miRNA from 1 species